UGAGUUUCUUUGCACUGAGUAAUGUGAAAUCCCAGAAAGAUCAUAGGAUUGUUUGAUGAAGGAAGGUCAACGAUCGGGUGCUGUAAAGUUAGAUUCUAGCUUCUAGAUUGUUGAUUUCUUAGUAUAAAGUGGCGAUUUAGGUGAACCACCCUCAACCUGUAAUCAUCCAGCUUCAGGAAUAAAAGUCCAGCAUGCGUAGCCUGCUUUGCUUGACAAGGCAGGAAAGAUGAAGCUCUAAGGUCAAGUAUUGCUGCUGCAAAAGUAUACAAUCAAGACAAAUAAUAUAAUUCAAAACACGCAAAUGAUAAAAAAAAAGAAUUGCGACAUGUUCGGUUUUGUGUGGGAAAUCAGAAGAAUUCGGAUCUCGAAAGUGUGCUGGCUUUUUGAGCUGGGGGAGUCGAUGGAAGUAGAAUAUAGCUGAACGAAGACUUUUCAAAUUAAUGAGAUGAAAUUUGAGAUUCUACCUCUCCAUUUUUAUAGCUUGUAGACUUAUAGUUUACCUUUUCCAAGGGAAUUCAUGACGACGAGUACAAACUUGCAGGAGCUGCUCGUUC
rnacentral:lncRNA from 1 species